UACCCCUCACCCCUCACCCCCCCUCUUUCUUUCCACCACAUCUAGUCCCGCCCAUCCAUUUACUGAUGCCUGCAUGUGCCUCUGGUUUCACAAAUACAGGAAACACCCCGGCACCUGCCCCCUUGGGGCUGACAGUCAGUCCAGAGGGAUGACAGACGUUCACAAACAGUUGUGCGAACCCAUGGGUACGGGCGGUGAUGCGUGCCCUGGGGAGGGUCUCAUAAGACGUUUGCCUCCUUUAAUCCUGUCCAUGAGCAGCUAUAUGAUGAUGAUGUGAUAUCUAGAGCUGCAACAGCCAUCUUGCAGCCAUGAGACAACAAGCUUGACUACAACAGCAGAGAUACUGAACACACUGAGGUGAAAGAAUACAAGAUCUGAGGUCUUAUGAUGCUGGUGAUAUAUAAUACUCCUUUACCUACUAAAUACUAAAUAC